CGAAUGGGGAGAUUCAUCGUCAGCUCAUUUUGUAUAUGUAUAAGUUAUGAUGCGGGUUACUACUUGUAGUAUUGCCUGCACAUUCUUGUAUAUUUAGUUGCAAGAUGUUGUCGGCGUGCACUUCUCCCCUAGUAGGACGUCGCGACCUGUUGGGUGUCGGUCUACGGCCCAAGUGAUAGCCUUUAAUGUAAUUUAAAAAACAUUGAAGAUCCUUGGUGUUUUCUGACCGGCUACUUGGCAGUAUUCGUACGGUAUUUAGCCGCUAAAUUUAUUAAGCGUCCAUAUCCAUCACAAGCGAGGCUAAUUUACUGAUAGUACGGACCUAGUGCCGUCGUUGGUAUUGGCCAGCUGUUGGUUGAUGGUAUCUAGGAC
rnacentral:rRNA from 1 species